AGUGAACGCUGGCGGUAGGCCUAACACAUGCAAGUCGAACGGCAGCACAGUAAGAGCUUGCUCUUACGGGUGGCGAGUGGCGGACGGGUGAGGAAUACAUCGGAAUCUACUUUUUCGUGUGUGAUAACGUAGGGAAAGUUACGCUAAUACCGCAUACGACCUCCGUGUGAAAGCAGGGGAUCUUCGGACCUUGUGCGAUUGAAUGAGCCGGUGUCGGAUUAGCUAGUUGGCGGGGUAAAGGCGCACCAAGGCGACGAUCCGUAGCUGGUCUGAGAGGAUGAUUAGCCACAUUGGAAGUGAGACACGGCACAGACACCUACGGGAGGAAGCAGUGGGGAAUAUUGGACAAUGGGGGAAAGCCUGAUCCAGCCAUACCGCGUGGGUGAAGAAGGCCUUCGGGUUGUAAAGCCCUUUUGUUGGGAAAGAAAAGCAGCAGGUUAAUACCCCGCUGUUCUGACGGUACCCAAAGAAGAAGCACCGGCUAACUUCGUG
rnacentral:rRNA from 1 species